AUAGCUGAUCGCUAACGUCCCUUUAAACCAUGACAACCCUGAUGAGAAUAAACCUUCCCGAAGCUCUCCAGCACAGCGGGGAGAGUUACUGAGCUUGGAAACCGAAAGGAAAGCAAUCGAGAUGCUCCCACAACAGGAGGAGAAAGCAAGGGGCCGGAUCUGGAAGGCAGUGGAAACCCAGAUAGAGGAUGGUGCUGAGACAGGGUAGGGUGGAUACGGACUGGGCGCCCUGGGAACUGCGGAAUGAUUUGGGGACUGAGAUACAUAUGAUGGAGGCCCGCGGCAGGCGCGGGAACCCGCCAGUCCCGGAGGAUACAUAGGCUUGGGGACUCACCUGCGUCUGCUCCUCCGUGAGGCCCGCCUCGGCUGCGAUGAGGCACAGCGUGGUGGGGUCCGGGUGCUUGUUGACCUUGUUAAAGUUGUACUCCAGGAUCUCCACCUGGUCCUCCGUGGGGCCGCUCGCGGUCUGCGCCGACAUGGUCCGUGCGUGUCUGCAGGGGAACCAGAUGCCCCGGGUGAGCGAGGUCCGCCUGCCCCCUCCCGCCGUCCCACCGAGGCGCCCCGCGCCGCUGACUGCGGAGUUUGGGGGGGGGGGAGCCCUCCUUCCCCGGGACCGUCCCCAACCUGACUAAGGAUGGAGAGGAGGAAGAAGACGCCUCCCGCCUGCCACUCCGAGGGGACAGUAUUCUGAGGAAGCGCCUGAAGUGCUGCCUCCGGAGAUCCGGAGCUGCCCUAGGGACUGAGGACGCUCGCAGGGCUGGGCUCCCGUCGCCGUGGGCACGCCUCUCGGGCCGCCACACUCCGCCUCCGCCGCGGGCUAGCACGUGGGGGCUUUGCCAGGGAGCGCAGGGCACCGCACACUUUGGGGAAAGACGCUCACUGCACAAGUUGGGGAAAUGGAGAUCGCACUUACAAACAACAAUACCACCAAUGGAUGUUUACUCUCCCCCCCCCCGCCCCCCUGAUUACAAAAUAGCACGUACUGCAGAAAAUGUGAAGACAUUAAAAUCACAGAGGGAAAAUUAAAUUGCCCGCUUAGUCGCAAAUAACAGCUAUAAAAUUUUGGAUGAUACUUUAAAGAUCUUUCCAAUGUACUUGUACAGAGACGGAAAUGGAAACACAGCGAUAAUGAUUUAUGAUUUACUGCUGGGUGGUGGCGUGGAGAAGGCUGAGCCACGAGCAUGCGGAAGGCAGCUGAACCCCAAUGCCAGGCCUCCAUCCCAAGAGCCUACCUACCUCACUACGUUCUCCUGUAUGUGUGUGAGAUACCUUUCAAACCUUACCCAAUUAAUCGGGAUCAAAAUCAACUAUCAUUUAAAACCUCGGACUUCAGCCCAGAAAAAUAGGUCCACCUCCAGCUUCCAGUUCUCCAGCAACAAAUGUUGUCCGGCAUAUCGCGGCAACGACCUUCCUGCUGCGCCAUACCGAUGUAGCUUCAGACUUGGGGCUAAGAAAACUACCAGGUCUCUCAGGAAGGGUAAAGCCCAAUGCUGGAAAUCAGAACCUUUCCUCAAAUGCUGCGGCUGCAGCUUCAGAAGAUGCUGAUGCGUGACCUGGCAAGCUGGGUGAGGGUCACUCACCUUCAGGGUACCUUCUGUCUGUCAUACAGGAGUUGUGCUUUAAGUUGUCUAGUCUACUUGGGGAGGAAUAAAGAAUGAAUUUCUGC
ensembl:antisense Hopxos HOP homeobox, opposite strand